AGUGAACGCUGGCGGCAGGCCUAACACAUGCAAGUCGAACGGAAGCACAGUAAGAUUUUGCCUUUACGGGUGGCGAGGGGCGGACGGGUGAGGAAUACAUCGGAUUCUACUUUUUCGGGGGGGAUAACGUGGGGAAACUUCCGCUAAUACCGCAUAUGACCAACGGGUGAAAGCAGGGGUUCUUCGGACUUUUCCUGUUUGAUUGAGCUGAUGUCGGAUUAGCUAGUUGGCGGGGUAAAGGCCCACCAAGGCGACGAACCGUAGCUGGUCUGAGAGGAUGAUCAGCCACACUGGAACUGAGACACGGUCCAGACUCCUACGGGAGGCAGCAGUGGGGAAUAUUGGACAAUGGGCGAAAGCCUGAUCCAGCCAUACCGCGUGGGUGAAGAAGGCCUUCGGGUUGUAAAGCCCUUUUGUUGGGAAAGAAAAGCAGCAGGUUAAUACCCCGCUGUUCUGACGGUACCCAAAGAAUAAGCACCGGCUAACUUCGUG
rnacentral:rRNA from 1 species